UUGGGGUUCCUCCGCCCGGACGCCGCGGGCCCUUGGGAGGGGAAAAUGGCGGCGACAACCCGGACGUGUGUGGGUGCCAGGGGUGUGUGUCCUCCCCGCGUCACUUGGGUCCCCCUUCUAGGGGUGUGUGUCCUCCUUCCCAGGACACCUGGGUCCCCGGAGAGGGUCCCCAUCCCUGGGUGCCUGGGUCCCCACCCGAAUUCCUGGGUCCCAUCCCCAGCCUCCUGGGGGAGGGAGGCUCCUCUUAUCUCCAUGAUGGGGCUGGGAAGGGCUCCCCACCCAAAUACCUGGGUCCCCAGGGAGGUCCCCAUCCCUGGGUGCCUGGGUCCCCACCCGAAUUCCUGGGUCCCAUCCCCAGCCUCCUGGGUCCCUCUUAUCUCCAUGAUGGGGCUGGGAAGGGCUCCCCACCCAAAUACCUGGGUCCCCAGGGAGGUCCCCAUCCCUGGGUGCUUGGGUCCCCCUUCUAGGGGUGCGUGUGUCCUCCCCACGACACCUGGGUUCCUGGAGGGGGUCCCAUCCCUGGGUGCCUGGGUCCCCACCUGGACACUUGGGUCCUCUGCACAGGAUGUCCUCUCCACAACCACUGUCCCCGGCGGUGGCCUCGGCCACGGUGGCCUCCAGGCGGGCGCUGGCGGUGCUGGCAGGGCUGGCAGAGGCUCUGGGGACACCGAGGGCGGUGGCCUCAGUGCUGGCGGAGGCCAAGGCAGUGCUGGCGGAGGUGGAGGCGGCGCUGGCAGGGCUGGAAGCGGCGCUGGUGGCAGCGAUGGCGUCAGCGGCGACGGCGACGCCGGAGCUCAGUGCCGAGGGUCUUUACCGGGCGCUGGCGGCGGUCGCUGAGGGCAGCGCCGCCGAACUGGAGCGGGAGCUGAGGCGGAACCACCGGCACUGCUGGGGGCUGCGGCUGGGCCGGACCGUCGCCCUGGUGCUGAUCCUCCUCUGUGCCCCUCUGCGUGAGUACGGACCAGUAUAGACCGGAAUGGACCAGUUCAGACCAGUAGGGAGCCCUACGAAUCUGCUUGGACCAGUAAUACCAGUUAAGAACCCUACAGACCAGUACACACCAGUAGGGACCCCUACAGGCCAGUAGAGACUUUCCCCUGCCCAGACCAGUAGGGACCAGUUCCAACCAGUAGGGAGCCCUACGAAUCUGCUUGGACCAGUAAUACCAGUAGAGAACCCUACAGACCAGUACACACCAGUAGGGAGCCCUACAGACCAGUACACACCAGUAGGGACCUCUACGGGCCAGUAGAGACUUUCCCCUGCCCAGACCAGUAGGGACCAGUUCCAACCAGUAGGGAGCUCUACGCCUCAGCUUGGACCAGUAAUACCAGUAGAGAACCCUACAGGCCAGUACACACCAGUAGGGACCUCUACGGGCCAGUAGAGACUUUCCCCUGCCCCGACCAGUAGGGACCAGUUCCAACCACUAGGGAGCUCUACGCCUCAGCUUGGACCAGUAAUACCAGUAGAGAACCCUACAGGCCAGUACACACCAGUAGGGACCUCUACGGGCCAGUAGAGACUUUCCCCUGCCCCGACCAGUAGGGACCAGUUCCAACCAGUAGGGAGGCCAAUGGCUCAACUUGGACCAGUAAUGCUGGUAGAGAUCCCCACAGACCAGUAAUACCAGCAAGGAGCCCUGCAGACCAGUAUGGACCAGUACAGACCAGUAGACAGCCCUAUGGAUCUGCUUGGAUCAGUGGUGCCAGCAGAGAACCCUACAGACCAGUAAGGACCAGUAUGGACCAGUAAGGAGCCCUACAGACCAGUACUGACCUUCAUGUGCCCUGACCAGUAUCAACAAGUUUAGGUCAGGAGGGACCACUGCAGAGCA
rnacentral:lncRNA from 1 species